rnacentral:rRNA from 1 species
UGAGGAAUAUUGGACAAUGGAGGAAACUCUGAUCCAGCCAUGCCGCGUGAGUGAAGAAGGCCUUCGGGUUGUAAAGCUCUUUUACCCCUGACGAUAAUGACGGUAAGGGGAGAAAAAGCCACGGCUAACUUCGUGCCAGCAGCCGCGGUAAUACGAAGGUGGCAAGCGUUGUUCGGAUUUACUGGGCGUAAAGAGUGCGUAGGCGGUUUGAUAAGUCAGGAGUGAAAGCCCAGGGCUCAACCUUGGAAUUGCUUUUGAAACUAUCUUACUUGAAUCCGGUAGAGGUUGGCGGAAUUCUCAGUGUAGAGGUGAAAUUCGCAGAUAUUGAGAGGAACACCAGUGGCGUAAGCGGCCAACUGGACCGGUAUUGACGCUGAGGCACGAAAGCAUGGGGAGCAAACAGG